UGCAACUCGCCUACACGAAGUCGGAAUCGCUAGUAAUCGCGGAUCAGCAUGCCGCGGUGAAUACGUUCCCGGGCCCUGUACACACCGCCCGUCACACCAUGGGAGUUUGUAACGCCCAAAGUCGGUGGCCUAACCUUUAUGGAGGGAGCCGCCUAAGGCGGGACAGAUGACUGGGGUGAAGUCGUAACAAGGUACC
rnacentral:rRNA from 1 species